AGGGAAUCUUCCGCAAUGGACGAAAGUCUGACGGAGCAACGCCGCGUGAGUGAAGAAGGCCUUCGGGUCGUAAAACUCUGUUGCCAGGGAAGAACGUCCGUUAGAGUAACUGCUAACGGAGUGACGGUACCUGAGAAGAAAGCCCCGGCUAACUACGUGCCAGCAGCCGCGGUAAUACGUAGGGGGCGAGCGUUGUCCGGAAUUAUUGGGCGUAAAGCGCGCGCAGGCGGCUGUUUAAGUCUGGUGUUUAAGCCUGGGGCUCAACCCCGGGUCGCACUGGAAACUGGGCAGCUUGAGUGCAGAAGAGGAGAGUGGAAUUCCACGUGUGGCGGUGAAAUGCGUAGAGAUGUGGAGGAACACCAGUGGCGAAGGCGACUCUCUGGGCUGUAACUGACGCUGAGGCGCGAAAGCGUGGGGAGCAAAC
rnacentral:rRNA from 1 species